rnacentral:tRNA from 1 species
GGCCGGUUAGCUCAGUCAGUUGAGCAUGGCGCUAGCAACGCUAAGGUCGCGGGUUCGAUUCCCAUUCAGACCC